rnacentral:rRNA from 1 species
GACGAACGCUGGCGGCGUGCUUAACACAUGCAAGUCGAACGGAAAGGCCCUGCUUUUGUGGGGUGCUCGAGUGGCGAACGGGUGAGUAACACGUGAGUAACCUGCCCUUGACUUUGGGAUAACUUCAGGAAACUGGGGCUAACACCGGAUAGGAGCUCCUGCUGCAUGGUGGGGGUUGGAAAGUUUCGGCGGUUGGGGAUGGACUCGCGGCUCAUCAGCUUGUUGGUGGGGUAGUGGCUUACCAAGGCUUUGACGGGUAGCCGGCCUGAGAGGGUGACCGGCCACAUUGGGACUGAGAUACGGCCCAGACUCCUACGGGAGGCAGCAGUGGGGAAUAUUGCACAAUGGGCGGAAGCCUGAUGCAGCAACGCCGCGUGCGGGAUGACGGCCUUCGGGUUGUAAACCGCUUUCGCCUGUGACGAAGCGUGAGUGACGGUAAUGGGUAAAGAAGCACCGGCUAACUACGUG